GCCUGGAUAGCUCAGCUAUUGGUUAGAGCAUGGCUCUGGUAAUGUCAAGGUUGCAGGUUCGAUCCCCACAUGGGACA